GUAUAUUUAUAGUGCUCAGCACAAGAUUAUUUCAUUACAUUCGUGCGUGUAAAAAUCCUCUACCAGCCGAAGCUAGCAAAGGCCAAUGGUUCACAAGAGGGUAUUAGAUUUAUAUUAUGUCCCCGUCGUGCACUUGCAAGAGCCAGCACUGAAGGUAGACAAUUAAUAUCAAUAAUGAUCCUUCCGCAGGUUCACCUACGGAAA
rnacentral:misc_RNA from 1 species